rnacentral:rRNA from 1 species
GACGAACCGAGCGAACGUUGUUCGGAAUCACUGGGCUUAAAGGGCGCGUAGGCGGGCCGUCGAGUCCGUGGUGAAAUCCUCCAGCUCAACUGGAGAAGUGCCUCGGAUACUGGCGGCCUCGAGGGGGGUAGGGGCGUGCGGAACUUCCGGUGGAGCGGUGAAAUGCGUAGAUAUCGGAAGGAACACCGGUGGCGAAAGCGGCGCGCUGGACCCCAUCUGACGCUGAGGCGCGAAAGCCAGGGGAGCAAACGGG